GGGCUUGUGGUUUAGUGGUAUAAUACUCCCUUAGCACUUUUAGAAGCAAUAGCUCUAAUAAUCGCCUGGGAGUGGUCCGGGGUUCGAUUCCCCGCGAGUCCA